rnacentral:rRNA from 1 species
UACGUAGGGUGCAAGCGUUAAUCGGAAUUACUGGGCGUAAAGCGUGCGCAGGCGGUUAUGUAAGACAGGUGUGAAAUCCCCGGGCUUAACCUGGGAACUGCAUUUGUGACUGCAUAGCUAGAGUACGGUAAAGGGGGAUGGAAUUCCGCGUGUAGCAGUGAAAUGCGUAGAUAUGCGGAGGAACACCGAUGGCGAAGGCAAUCCCCUGGGCCUGCACUGACGCUCAUGCACGAAAGCGUGGGGAGCAAACAGG